rnacentral:lncRNA from 1 species
AUCACAGUAUGGUUACCCAGAGAUUAUUUGAUAUGGAAAUUUAAACGGCCGCAUUAGAUCUUUGAGAUCCUACAUCUGUAUAUCUCUCCAGCCCAGAUACUCUACUGUACUCGACACAAAGACCUGUACUCGACACAAAGAUCUGUACUCGACACAAAGAUCUGUAGUCGACACAAAGAUCUGUACUCGACACAAAGAUCUGUACUCGACACAAAGAUCUGUACUCGACACAAAGAUCUGUACUCGACACAAAGAUCUGUGCUCGACGCAAAGAUCUGUACUCGACACAAAGAUCUGUAGUCGACACAAGGAUCUGUACUCAACACAAAGUGUUGGUGGGGGUAACUAGGGACUAGAGGGGUGGUGGUGGAAUAUGUGAGAGAGAGGUCUGUAAAGGGUAAAGGGUAGUGGAGUCAAUCAGAGAGAAGGCUGUGUAAAGGGUAUAGGGUAGUGGUGUCUGUGUGAGAGAGGGCUGUGUUAAGGGUAAAGGGUAGUGGAGUCAAUCAGAGAGAAGGCUGUGUAAAGGGUAUAGGGUAGUGGUGUCUGUGUGAGAGAGGGCUGUGUUAAGGGUAAAGGGUAGUGGAGUCAAUCAGAGAGAAGGCUGUGUAAAGGGUAUAGGGUAGUGGUGUCUGUGUGAGAGAGGGCUGUGUUAAGGGUAAAGGGCAGUGGUGUCUGUGAGAGAGAGGGCUGUGUUAAGGGUAUAGGGUAGUGGUGUCUGUGUGAGAGAGGGCUGUGUUAAUGGUAUAGGGUAGUGGUGUCUGUGUGAGAGAGGGCUGUGUUAAGGGUAAAGGGCAGUGGUGUCUGUGAGAGAGAGGGCUGUGUUAAGGGUAUAGGGUAGUGGUGUCUGUGUGAGAGAGGGCUGUGUUAAGGGUAAAGGGCAGUGGUGUCUGUGAGAGAGAGGGCUGUGUUAAUGGUAUAGGGUAGUGGUGUCUAUCAGAGAGAGGGCUGUGUUAAGGGUAAAGGGUAGUGGUGUCUGUGAGAGAGAGGGCUGUGUUAAGGUAAAGGGUAGUGGUGUCUAUCAGAGAGGGCUGUGUUAAGGGUAAAGGGUAGUGGUGUCUAUCAGAGAGGGCUGUGUUAAGGGUAAAGGGCAGUGGUGUCUGUGAGAGGGCUGUGUUAAUGGUAUAGGGUAGUGGUGUCUAUCAGAGAGAGGGCUGUGUUAAGGGUAAAGGGUAGUGGUGUCUGUGAGAGAGAGUGCUGUGUUAAGGUAAAGGGUAGUGGUGUCUAUCAGAGAGGGCUGUGUUAAGGGUAAAGGGUAGUGGUGUCUAUCAGAGAGGGCUGUGUUAAGGGUAAAGGGUAGUGGUGUCUAUGAGAGAGGGCUGUGUUAAGGGUAAAGGGUAGUGGUGUCUAUGAGAGAGGGCUGUGUUAAGGUUAAAGGGUAGUGGUGUCUAUCAGAGAGAGGGCUGUGUUAAGGGUAAAGGGCAGUGGUGUCUGUGAGAGAGAGGGCUGUGUUAAUGGUAUAGGGUAGUGGUGUCUAUCAGAGAGAGGGCUGUGUUAAGGGUAAAGGGUAGUGGUGUCUGUGAGAGAGAGGGCUGUGUUAAGGUAAAGGGUAGUGGUGUCUAUCAGAGAGGGCUGUGUUAAGGGUAAAGGGUAGUGGUGUCUAUCAGAGAGGGCUGUGUUAAGGGUAAAGGGCAGUGGUGUCUGUGAGAGGGCUGUGUUAAUGGUAUAGGGUAGUGGUGUCUAUCAGAGAGAGGGCUGUGUUAAGGGUAAAGGGUAGUGGUGUCUGUGAGAGAGAGUGCUGUGUUAAGGUAAAGGGUAGUGGUGUCUAUCAGAGAGGGCUGUGUUAAGGUAAAGGGUAGUGGUGUCUAUCAGAGAGGGCUGUGUUAAGGGUAAAGGGUAGUGGUGUCUAUCAGAGAGGGCUGUGUUAAGGGUAAAGGGUUGUGGUGUCUAUGAGAGAGGGCUGUGUUAAGGGUAAAGGGUAGUGGUGUCUAUGAGAGAGGGCUGUGUUAAGGGUAAAGGGUAGUGGUGUCUAUGAGAGAGGGCUGUGUUAAGGUAAAG